rnacentral:rRNA from 1 species
AUUGAACGCUGGCGGCAGGCCUAACACAUGCAAGUCGAGCGGAUGAAGGGAGCUUGCUCCUGGAUUCAGCGGCGGACGGGUGAGUAAUGCCUAGGAAUCUGCCUGGUAGUGGGGGAUAACGUCCGGAAACGGGCGCUAAUACCGCAUACGUCCUGAGGGAGAAAGUGGGGGAUCUUCGGACCUCACGCUAUCAGAUGAGCCUAGGUCGGAUUAGCUAGUUGGUGGGGUAAAGGCCUACCAAGGCGACGAUCCGUAACUGGUCUGAGAGGAUGAUCAGUCACACGGGAACUGAGACACGGUCCAGACUCCUACGGGAGGCAGCAGUGGGGAAUAUUGGACAAUGGGCGAAAGCCUGAUCCAGCCAUGCCGCGUGUGUGAAGAAGGUCUUCGGAUUGUAAAGCACUUUAAGUUGGGAGGAAGGGCAGUAAGUUAAUACCUUGCUGUUUUGACGGUACCAACAGAAUAAGCACCGGCUAACUUC